CCCACCAAUUCCUCACAUCCGAUCAAGGCACCCCGCCGCCCCCGCCUUCCUCUCCCUCAUCUCUUCUUUCUCCUAGAUCCGAUCGAAGCACCGCCGACCUCUCCACCAUCUCCUUCCCGUCCCCCAUCGCGCCGCCAUCCACCUCGUUGCCUCCCAUCUCCUCCCGCCCCCUCCCUCCCCCACCUUCCCCUUUUGCCCCUCCUUCCUGGACCCCGAGGGCGCCCGCAUCGGCUCUGGCGCCACCACGCUCCACGCCGUCGCCUCCCUCGCCCGCCACCUCGUCUCCCAGGCCACCAAGGAAGAGAUCACCGAAUUCCUCCCCGAAGCGACCGGAUCCUCCGCAUCCGUGGUGUGCUUCAUGGCCACCAAGCACGUGUUGCUGCUGCACGCUGGCGGCGAUAGCAAGAGGGUUCCGUUGGCGAACCCCAUGGGGAUGGCCUUCCUGCCGGUGCCUUACCUGGCCGGGGCAACCCCGACGGGCCUGUCCCGCUGCUCUUCGACCACAUCAGGGGGGUCCAACGCAAGGCAAUCAUUCAAGACCGGCAUCGGCAAGUCCAACCUGCCCUCCCGCUUCACCCGCAACGAGUUCAGCCUCGAGUCCAAGUCCACCAUCAGGGGGGUCGAGUUCGCCACCCGCUCCCUCUAGGUCGACGGCAAGGUCGUCAAGGCCCAGAUUUGGGACACCGCCGGCUCUUCCUAUCCCCGUCUGUUCGGCAGCAGUUGUGGAGACCAUGGAUGGGACUAUCUCAGAAGCACCAUUUUGCCUUUUUCAGUUAGAUGCCUUUGGAUUGCUUGGCAUCAGACCCUGUUCAAGGAGAUUUGCUUUUGGUAGAUGCAGAGUAUAGAUUAAUUAUUCCAUAAAAUUCACCACAUGAGUAUACUACUUAAUAGCCAAUUUCCAUGGUCAAAUUCAGCCCUUGAUGCAAAUGGACAUCAUGAUUCUGUUAUGCGCCGAGGUCGGUGGUUGAAUUCUUGAUUGGUGUGGAACACAAUGGACAGGGCAAAAUCAGUGUGCUUUGAAACGUAGGGCGAAUCUUGUGGAGGAGUAGGGCGAAUCGGACAUUGUCUCGCUUGUGCCGCUCUGAUAACAUGCUGAAUGUUGUUCAUGCGACUGUGUAUGAAUCUUCUGUACGUGCAGAUUAUCAGGCAUUUUUAAUGCUGCUGAGAGUGUAACAGAGUGUUUCAACCAACAGCAGAAAAAUCAGUUUGAUGUAUGGAUGCUUCAUGCGGUGGUAGCUAAUGAUCUCUGUACUGAUGACAAUUUUGUGAUCGGGAUAUAAUGUCGUCGAGGUGGCUGCUGCUCUUACCGAAGAUCAGAAGAAGCUUAGAUAUGUGCACCAAGUUUUAGUUGAUGUUGCCACCAAGUUUUGGUGCAUGUGUAUUUGUUUUUUGAUUGUAUGUACACUUGUUGGAUCGUCCAGUAUGUGCUAUUGUACAUGUGCU